AUUUAGACGUUGAAGAGGAAGAGUAUAAGCGCAAAUACUUGUAAAGAGAAAAGUUGGUUGGUGAAAAACUUGAAGUAAUGCUUAGAAGGUAGCCUUGGAGUUAUUUAGGUGAGAAAGGUUCAUUAGCCUAAAUCGUUUUAUUCACGUUAUCGAAUACUAAGUUGAGAACAUAUUGUUCUAAUUAAGGUGGUACCGCGGAAUUCGUUUCGUCCUUUUU
rnacentral:ncRNA from 1 species